rnacentral:rRNA from 1 species
CAGUCGCCGCGGGAACACGAAGGGGGCUAGCGUUGCUCGGAAUGACUGGGCGUAAAGGGCGCGUAGGCGGCACAGACAGUCAGAAGUGAAAUUCCUGGGCUCAACCUGGGGACUGCUUUUGAUACGUCUGAGCUAGAGUGGAGAAGAGGGUUGUGGAAUUUCCAGUGUAGAGGUGAAAUUCGUAGAUAUUGGAAAGAACACCGGUGGCGAAGGCGGCAACCUGGUCUUUUACUGACGCUGAGGCGCGAAAGCGUGGGGAGCAAACAGGAUUAGAGACCCCCGUAGUCCCUGUCUCUUAUAC